UUGAGGAAAGAAUGGAAGGAAAGGGAUUGAUUAUAAGAGGUUGGUCACCACAAACAUUGAUUCUUGAGCAUGAAGCAAUUGGUGCAUUUGUGACACACUGUGGUUGGAACUCAACUUUAGAAGGAGUGUGUGCUGGUGUGCCUAUGGUUACUUGGCCUGUGGCUGCUGAGCAGUUUUAUAAUGAGAAGUUGGUGACUGAGGUGCUUAAGAUUGGUGUACCUGUUGGAGUUAAAAAAUGGGUUCGAUUGUUUGGAGAUAAGAUUGAAAGUGAUGCAGUGGAGAAAGGUGUGAAGAAGGUUAUGGAAGGAGAAGAAAUGAGGAAUAGGGUGAAAGUGCUUGCACACAAUGCAAAGAAAGCUGUGGAAGAAGGUGGAUCUUCUUACUCUCAAUUGAAUGCUUUACUUGAGGACUUGAGUUCAUUUAGAAAAUGAUUAGUGGAUAACAUCUAAAAUCUAAUAUAGUUGGGAUACUGUUUACAGUUUUUAAAUAAAUUUCUUUCUUUGAAUGAUAUUUAUUUAGAGCAAGGCUAUAUUGACACAACUUUUAUAUUGAUAUGACUUUUGUAUUUGCAUACAUAUCAUUUUUCAUAUUGAGAACAAUAUAUAUUUUUUAAUAUAAAUAUAAAAACUUAAAAAUAUAUAGAUUAUUUAUAAUAAAAUAUUUUUUUUACAAAAUAUAAACAAUUUUUUUAACUAAUCUUUUAUAUUUUAUUAAUCAAUUUUAUUUUACUACUUAAACUAUUUCUUUAUGUUAUGCAUACUCAUUAAUCAAAUUAUGAAAUAUAUUAACCGUCUUUUUAUACUAUAUUAAUCAAAUUUGUUUCACCAUUUAAAAUUACUUUUUAAUGCCAUGAUACAUAUUAAUUGUUUCGUUCGAGAAUCAGAAAUGGAUGUUCUAAUUCCAUGAAGGGACUUGAAAUGACGAGAGUUGGAUAUCUGCUGAUCUUGAACGGUGGCUUUGAUCUUCGUGAUGGUGGUGGCGUGUAGUGGAUCUGCAUGGCUAGCAUUUCAACGUCCAAGUCAGUUCAAGAUCAAUAUGAGUAUAGUGAAAUUGGAGAUCAAAGACUAUGUAUCUUCCCAAAGCAUGUGAACUAUUUUUAUAUUUGGAUCGAGUAGAAUGGACUUGAGACAUAAGGUAUUUGGCCAAUACAAAACAAUUUCCCCCAAGGCUUGAUCGAGCACUGAAAGAGUUGUGGUGAGCCCUAAAUAUCAUUUAUCGGCCACCGUGUCAUAGUCGCGUGUGAAGUAGAACUGAAUCGCCUGGGAUCAUUUUUCUGAAGAAGUAAUGGGGAACGGGUAAAUUUAAUACGGUCCCAUUGAUAAAAUGCUUCGUCACCCAUUCCUGGAGUGUGCAGUAAUGUGACAAGUUAGUGGGUGACGCAGUUUUAGAGUACUUGAGUGCAUUCAUAUUGGCGUAUAUCCAUAAGUGGAAAUCUAGUUGUUGAUCUUGUGAUCCUUGUUCGUAGUUGAUUUUGAUCUUUCAGCUAUCAUUGCUUAUAAAUGGGGCGAAUUGGAUAUUUUGUUCCCUUUUCCUAAGAAUACCACUAAGAGUGAUUCAGAGCUUCUCUUAAAGCUUUCUCCUUUUUCAUUCCUCCCGCUUCGUCAAUCUCUUUUAAUUAGGUACCUUUCUAACUCAAGCUUUCUCCUUCAAUAUUUCCUGCUUUUUAGUUAGGAUGAGUGGCAAAACUAUUGAUUUAGUGAGAGAUUCUGAAGUGAAAACUUCAUCUGGGUCAUCCUAUGAUUCUCAUUGUCCUUCCCACAAUAGUGAUCACGUUAGACUGGAAAUUAUAUCUAUAUCUGACGACUCUAGGUUAGAAGUGAUGUCUGGAUUUUCCUUGUGGGAAAAAACUUCUUCUUCCGGGUCAUUAUACACCUUUAUAUCAAAUGUAGGAAGAAUAAUAAAUCAAGCUGAGGUCCUAUUACUUCUUUCCAUGAACCUUAUAAAAAGGUUUCUUCUAAUACAUAAUUAUUCUUGAUUCUUGAUUCUUGAUCUUCCUAGUAAUAUUAAAAUGAAAAUUUUGCAAAUGCCAAGUCCAGGCACCAAAGAGGAUUCCGUUGCGGAUUUAUUUAGAGAAAUAAAAUAAUCAGAAGAGAAGAGCUAUGAAGUUAUUGUUAAUACCUUCUAUGAACUUGAGGGUGUUUAUGCUUAUUUCUAUAGCGAGGUACCCAAAAUAAAAAACAGGCAUAUAGGUCCAUUUUCAGUUCAUAAUAGAGAUAAGGAGGAUGAAAUAACAUCAUACUGUGGAAAAGAAGCAAUUAUUGACAAACAUGAGUGUCAAAAAUGGAUUGACACAAAAGAUGUCAACUCAUUUGUUUACGUGUGCUUUGAAAGUACAACAUGCUUUCUUGACUCUCAACUUAAAGAAAUUGCUAUAGGACUUGAAGCAUUGGAAAAAUAUUUUAUUUAGGUUGUGAGGAGAAAAAAAAAGUGGAAAAAUGGCUACCAGAAGGAUUUGAGGAAAGAAUGGAAGGAAAGUGAUUGAUUAUAUAAGGUUGGUCACCACAAACAUUGAUUCUUAAGCAUGAAGCAAUUGGUGAAUUUGUGACUCACUGUGGAUGGAACUCAACUUUAGAAGGAGUCUGUUUUGGUGUGCCUAUUAUUACUUUGCCUGUGGCUGCUGAUCAGUUUUAUAAUGAGAAGUUGGUGACUGAAGUGUUUAAGAUUGGUGUACAUGUUGGAGUUAAUAAUUGGUUUGAUUGUUGUUGAAUAAAAGGUAAUGUGACAAGUUUAACAUAAUUGUUAUUGUUGAAUAAAAGGUAAUGUUACAAGUUUAACACAAUUGUUGUUGUUGACAGUAAUAUGCAAUGUUAAGUUGAACAAGUUUAGUAUUUAUGACAGACAUGUAAUGUUCAUCAUUACAUUUAUGACAUGCCUAUAAUGUUCAGCGUUAUAUUUAACAAGUUUAAACCUUGAACAAAAUAAUAGGUAUGAAUGUAAUGUUUGUAUGUUUAUGACAGACCUGUAAUGUUCACAAUACAAUGUAUUUUAUUUAGGUUGUGAGGAGAAAGAAAGAAGAAGUAGAAAAAUGGCUACCAGAAGGAUUUGAGGAAAGAAUGGAAGGAAAGGGAUUGAUUAUAAGAGGUUGGUCACCACAAACAUUGAUUCUUGAGCAUGAAGCAAUUGGUGCAUUUGUGACUUACUGCGGAUGGAACUCAACUUUAGAAGGAGUCUGUUUUGGUGUGCCUAUGAUUACUUGGCCUGUGACUGCUGAUCAGUUUUAUAAUGAGAAGUUGGUGACUGAAGUGUUUAAGAUUGGUGUACCUGUUGGAGUUAAAAAAUG
rnacentral:lncRNA from 1 species